UACAGAGGGUGCAAACGUUGUUCGGAAUUACUGGGCGUAAAGCGCGUGUAGGCGGCUACGCAAGUCGGAUGUGAAAUCCCGUGGCUCAACCACGGAAGUGCACCCGAAACUGCGCAGCUGGAGUCUCGGAGAGGAAGGUGGAAUGCUUGGUGUAGAGGUGAAAUUCGUAGAUAUCAAGCGGAACACCGGUGGCGAAGGCGGCCUUCUGGACGAUGACUGACGCUGAGACGCGAAAGCGUGGGGAGCAAACAGG
rnacentral:rRNA from 1 species